UUUUCAUCUUUCUUCAUAGAAAGAAUCUACUUGUAGAUACAAGUGAAAGAAACUUUCAUCUCUCUCUCGCUUGAACACCUUCCAUCACCAUCUUCACCUCAGCCAUUUGAUCACUACCAUCAACUCCAACCCUCAUCACCCUAAACCUGCAAACCCAACCAUAAAUUCGAGGGAACCCAAGUCCCAACAGUAAAACCAAAGAAAAAAACAAUCCACCAGCAACCGAAAAUAAAAGAAAAAGAACUCCUUGUUUUGAAGUCAAGCAGAACCUGCAAAGAAAAAGAUAACAAGUCAGAGAACUAAAAAAGGAGAAAGAACAGAAAAGAGGAAGAGCUCUCUGUCGCUGGUGUAUCUUGGCUGCAGAACGGCGGCAGUGGGCAGAGCAAGAAGGGGGGGAAAAACAAGAAACAAAAAGAGGUAAUUGGUCGGAGGGAAUCUACUUGCAGACUGAGAGAUGAAAGGAAA
rnacentral:lncRNA from 1 species